GCUGGAGUGUGUGGUGACGAAAGAACUUCCUGAGUGUGUGUGUGACUGUGACUUUCAGGAAGAGGAAGCAUAGCAGAGACGAGAAGUGCAGAUUGGGGCCUGCAACAGUGAAUAACGGCGCUGAAAAUUCUCGGGAGGAGCAAAUAUAAGGGGGCUUUCCAGAUUACAAUUGGCUGAGGAGAAAGCUACCUGUGGGGACUGAUCAAGGUCAAGAUCUCGGCGACCACAGGAGGGGCGAGGAUCCUGGAGAUCUCGAGGUUCGAGACCACCAGAGAGGGGUCUGCGUGAGGACACAAUGUAUUGUGACCUCUGGUGUUCCAGAGGUCAAAAGGGGGAGUGUCGAGGAGGGAAAUUAUUUUACUGCUAUUGUUAAAUAAUUGUCAUUGCAUUAAUAAUAUAAUCUGCAGCAUGGAUAUUGCAUUCCAAGGUUUAAACAGUGUCUCUUUCAGAAAGACUGAGUUGCAGGCUGACAGGAAGUUGUAUGCAGAAGUGAAACCAG
ensembl:lncRNA